rnacentral:rRNA from 1 species
UACGUAGGGGGCAAGCGUUGUCCGGAAUCAUUGGGCGUAAAGAGCGUGUAGGCGGCCAGAAAAGUCCGCUGUGAAAACUCGAGGCUCAACUUCGAGCUGUCGGUGGAAACUUUCUGGCUAGAGUCCGGAAGAGGAGAAUGGAAUUCCUGGUGUAGCGGUGAAAUGCGCAGAUAUCAGGAGGAACACCAAUGGCGAAGGCAGCUCGCUGGGACGGUACUGACGCUAAGGCGCGAAAGCGUGGGGAGCGAACAGG